ACAAAUGACAGAAACAAGAUGAUGUGUUUGUAUUUCUUAUUUUUUCCCCCACUCUUUAUUAACAUCUGACAAUGCAAUUAACAUUAGACAGUGAGCAGCAGAUGAUACGCAAGGGGGCAGCUGCAGACGGUUUACAGCAGGAGGCUGGGAAAGCUGCCAUUUCUUUGUUAUCUGUCUGCACAGUAGACUUUCUAGGCACUACGUAAUGCAAAUAAAGUGUUGACUGUGCAAUGGGUUGUGUACUGCCUGCCUUGUCUUGCCUGCAGGAGCUGCCACUUGGUGCACACACACUAGAAUCCUCUGCCAUGCCUUCCUGAUGGGGACAAUUUUCCUUAUCCACUGCAUCACGAUAAAGGAGGAGCUACUCCAACUGUAGAUUUGUGUAGAUACCACACCUAAAAGAUGAUGAUGUAGGCGCACUCUUAGGAAUGAGAGCCCCUCAAAUUUCAUUCAGAGAACAUAGAGCCAGAUCCAAAAUGCUUUAAAGAGGAGAAGGAACUCUUUCAUUGGUUUCAGCAGACCUUGGAUCAGGCUUGUAACAGACAAAACUCUGAAUGUGAACAAAUCAGCAAAGCGUAAAUCCCAACUUCAGUUUGACAUCUGAGUCCUAUGUUUUUUUUAGGUCAAAAACUGCUUUUCCUGCGUUGAGAGAGCAUCAGCAUCUCCAAUAUGCAAGACAUAUUCCUUAUUAAAUAAGAUACAAGACCCAGAAAGAUUCACAUAUGCCUAGCUCCUUGGAGAGGAUGAAAUAAGAAUAAGCUCUUUAAAAUCUAUUCAUUUCUCCUGGGUGAUCGGAUUCCUAGAAUGGAGUAUAAAUGAAAUUGCAGCUGGGUGUUCAGAACCUGAACCAUUUUAUACAUUUUCAAAAGCUUUUUGAUCUUUCUCAUCAAGACAUGAAAUACGGUCCACCUCUGUCACUCUGUAACCGUGAUAGCUGAGGGAUGGUGUCUUUUUAACCAAAAAUAGCAAAUAGAUUGUUUUUAUAUAUCAUUGGAGCUGCAAUAACCCAUUAACUACUGAAGCUGUUAACCUUGAACACCUGGCCUGUGUUAAGAGUGAUUUCAGGACAACUGAUGAGCCCAGAGUGUUCCAAUUCUUCGAGCAGUGAUUCUAAAUACCAUUUUCUAGAGAUGACCAGCCCUCCCUCUUCCUCAGGACAACCAAAAGCUGGCACCACUUCCUGACAACAUCAUGAGACCGGUCCCAUUGAACAGAGAGGACGUAUGAGGAAUGACAGUGUGAAAAAAGACAGUGGACUUGGAGACUGCAGGACCACAACAAGAAUCUGCAGUCCAGGGGACUGACCUGCUCUGAGGAAUGACUGUUCUCUUACUCCUGGACUCCAAGCUCCAGACAAGUGCCAGGAAUGUGUGUACUGGUGGCGUCACAAGACAAAAAGCGAAGGACAAAUGAUACAUGAAUACGACCUGAAAUGGCCUUAAGAGACUGUUAUCUGGCCACACAAGGAAGGUGCAGAGGAGAGCUAAAGAUUCUAGGGCCUAUUCCACAGCCUCAAGUGCUCCAGAACCACCUAACUUCCAGUCUGAGGGAGGCCCUGGGCACCUCAGCUGCUUCUAGGUCAACCCAAGAAAUGACAUUACAGAAAAGGUCCCUUAGAAAUUAUGGUCACUCAAACCUACUCCAUCUCUGUUGUACAUCCCGCUUAAGAGAUACAGCACAAAAUGUCUUUUGUGUACACUAAAAGGCCAAAGAGAAAUUAUAUUGUUAUUAAACUCUCAUUUGGAUCAGACCCAGACACCAACAAUGUUUAC